rnacentral:tRNA from 1 species
UGUCCAGGGAUGGGAACCGAACCCACAAUGUUCAGCUUACCGGGCAGAUGCCAUGUCCACUAGGCCCCUUUAUAAAGGGGC